AGGUAAGAAAGUGUAGUGUAAGUCUAGCAUAGAAUUUUAAAGGAAAUAUAAAUGACAACUAAUAUCGCCGCUAGGACAGUCUAUAUUUGGACCUCGUAGGUGUGUGUGCUCUUGUCCCUGUCAGGAAGGUGUGGCCAAUAGCCAGUCCAUGUGGAGCAGGCACAGAGAAGAGGACAACCAGAACUAACUGAGACAGGGAGAACCACCUGGCAACCUCUUCACGAGGCACACCUGCUCUGGUUCAGGCUUCAUCUGGGAAGGAUUAAUGGGUCCUGGAAUAGCAGCUCUAAACAGCAGAAGAGGAAAGAGGGAAGAGAGUGAUGCAGUACCUCCAGAACUGCGACCAUGAGGUCCCCAGCUGCCUCACCACCUACCCCAGCGACUCCCAGUCCCUGCCCCUGCAUUGCAUAAUGCUCCCACCACCACGCUUCACUGUCUCGAUGACAUAAACCAGGUGAUGGGCAGCACCGUGUUUCGGCCAGACAUAGCGCUUGGCAUUUAUGCCAAAUAGUUUGACUUUUGUCUCACCAGACUAGAGACUCUUUUUUUCCAUGAUCUCAGAGUCCUUCAGGUGGAAUGUUAUGUGUCUUUUACUCAGGAGUGGCAUCCGUCUAACCAUUCUACCAAGCAGGCCUUUCUGACAGGUUCUCUGUUAGAGUGGCCAUUGGGUUCUUGGUCAACUCCCCGACCAAUGCCCUUCUUGCCCGCUUACUUGGAAUGAGUCUUGGUGUUUCCAAACUUCUUCCAUUUCACAAUGAUGAGACACUCUGCUUCUGGGAACUUUCAAUGCUAUAUAUAUUUUUUUUUUUUAGAACCUUCCCCAGAUCUAUGCCUUCACACAAUUCCCUCCCUGAUGUCUAUGGAGAGUUCCUUGGCAUGGCUUGGUUUUUGCUCUGACAUGCUCUGUGAAGUGUGGGACCUUACAUAGACGUGUGUGUGCUUUCCUGAAUCAUGUCCAAUAAAUUGAAUUUGCCAUAGGUGGACUCCAGUCAAGAUCUAGGUACAUCCCAAAAAUGAUCAGAAGGCUCAGGAUGCAUCCAACCUCAGUUUGGAGUGUCAUGGCAUGGGUCUGAAUACUUAUGUACAUGAGAUAUUUCUGUUUUUCAUUUUUAAUAAAUGUAAUUUAUAAAAA
ensembl:lncRNA